GAAAUUUGGAAGAGAGGACUAGCUGUUCCUGCUUUAACAAAAUUUGGUAUGUGCAUGCAUCGUAUUGUCUUAUUUCGGUUGCCAGUAUGCUUUUUGUAAACAUUAUUGACUCUGAAGUGAAUUGCAGCAAUAAACGGUUAUUAUGCUUUUUUGGUACCCAUGGUCAGAGAUGUUUGCCAUGUAAUUUUCUUUUGUUGCAUAACUAUAAUGAAGAAUGCCUUUUCAGCUUGCAUGAUUAGGUGCCUCUAUAGAGGUUUUAAAAUUAAGUCUGUUUGGGUAUUAUAAAUUAGAAUCACUUUUCAAAUGGGAUUUUACAAAGAUUCUUUUUUAUGGAAAUUGUCUGGGUCCUACUUGUUAAAAAAAUUGAUUUUGAAGUGUUGAUUGUAGGGAUUUUUUUAUAUUCCUGUUGGGCCAAUUAGUUUAAUUUUCUAGAAAAGCGUGGAAAUCCUACUACCCUCAAUCAAUCUUAUGAUAUAUAGAUAUUACAAAUUUACUUUGAAAAACUACUGAAACAGAUUGGAUUGUUUUUCAUAAUCUAUUCUUUUUUAUGGAAAUUGUCUGGGUCCUACUUGUUAAAAAAAUUGAUUUUGAAGUGUUGAUUGUAGGGAUUUUUUUUAUAUUCCUGUUGGGCCAAUUAGUUUAAUUUUCUAGAAAAGCGUGGAAAUCCUACUACCCUCAGUCAAUCUUAUGAUAUAUAGAUAUUACAAAUUUACUUUGAAAAACUACUGAAACAGAUUGGAUUGUUUUUCAUAAUCUAUUCUUGAGGACCAAAUGUGAUUGUGGACUCUUCAGAAUGUAAAAGAAACUAAUCCAAAAUUAAAGAAUGUAAAAGAAAGUGGCUAGUGCCUAAAAAUGCUUGAUUUGAUGACUUGAUGAGUCUGUAGGUUUGGCUAGACUAUUUUUAUUUGAUUGGAAAUGUGUUACUUGGUGAUAAUGGUUAUCUAUCAGUUUUUAAGUGAAAUCAAUGGGGUAAAGUGUAAUUUUUCUUUAUAAUUAAAUAACAAUAAUAGUGGUAAUGGUAAUACAAUAUUGAUGGCACUCUGCUCUACCUUCCAAACAUUUUAUAGAGAAGACAUGGUUUCUGAUUUUCAAGUUUUGUUCCCCUGGGUUUUGUGAUUUAAGUUGCUCCUUAUUAAAUUAUCUCGUGUGUUAAUGCAGGACAUGGUGCCCUGUAUUCUGGUGACUUUUGAGAAUGAACAAAUUGUGGUUUGGAGGGGAAAGGAUUAUGAGCCCCGGAAGGAUGGAUACUUUCUUAAAGAUCGAGAAUCAGUUGACGACAUUGGUGGCUUGUGUGUGGGAAAAGAGCAACAGGCUAUGUAACACCACAAUCAGCACAGCUAAUUAGGAAUCAAUUCAUGGUUUUGCUGACAGCCAAGCUUGGAAGAGACUUUGGUAAUUCAUGAUGUCAGAGAAUAAUGGAGGAAACUCAGUUCAAUAGUUCAGUACGCAAGUUUGUCACCAUUACAAAAUUGCCAGUUUGAUAUGAAGAGCUAAAUGUACAAAUCAGUGUUUUUUUACUGUUCAUGUUUGGGUUAGUUUAGUUUUAGAAUUACUUAUUUGAAAACCUAUUUUGUAAGGUUUUGUUAACACAAUGAGUGAAGGUUACUGCUGAAUCAUAUGAAACGAAAAUGGACAAAAACAACUUAAAAGUAAAAGGCAAAAUUGUACUUUUGGUCCCUCA